GACGGGAAGCACAAAAAACUGCAAGUGCAAGAUUUACCAUACUAUUCCAGGAGUCAAUAGUAGAAUUAUGUUAAGUUCUCUCAUUCCAAUGUAAAAACGACUUUUAAAUACCUAAACAGAAACAAAUGAAAGCUGUGGGGAGAAUAGAGACUUGCCCACUUACUAAAGUGCCUGCCAAUCUCAAAGAAGUGCUGAAGACCAACCCCAGGAAUCCAUAAAAAUUCCACCUGAAGAAUGGAACUUGACAGAACUUGCAUGCAGGGGACACUACAUGUCUCUUUCUGUGAGGUACAAAGGGGACAAGAAAGUUGGAGGAAGCUUUCCCUGUCCUCUGCUGCACUGGAUAAGUUCUGUGCUGAGAAGAGGAUACCAGCUUGCUUUGCCAGUGUGAAGAGACAGAGGAACCCAUGGAGAUUCGACAUGAAUGUGAUAUUUUGCCAAGGAAGAUAUCUACAGAGUAACAGGAAAGAGAAGAACAGUAAGAGGGAACACAUUAUCUUCUUUGUGGAUGUCUAGAGACAAGCAUGUCUGGCAGUCGUGGUGUUGAACUCAAAAUAGAUUUACCCAGCACAGAAAAGGCAAAAGGAGGAAGAACAUUCUUAUAUUCUAAAUACUGAAUCUGUCUUCCACAAUUCUACCAGCAUCAGAAUAUCACACCAUAAACAAGAACAUUACUGCCUCAGUUAGAAAAUGUAUGCAACUGACUGGUCUGUGUCAUCUUUUAGGCCUCAAGAAUACCAGAAAAUUAAACAAAAGAUCCUGGAACCCAAGUAAGUCAUAGCACAUCCAUUACUUCAGAGUCUGUGGUGUAUUUGGAUUUCAUGGCUCAAUUUGCAAUUUUGAUGGGAAAUGCAUCCAGCUGGUGCGACUAUAGAUAUCACUGUCACUCAGUAAAGGGAGCCAGAGAACAAUAAUAUCAAGUUAGACCUUGUUCUGCAUCCUCAGCAAAAUUAUCAAACAAAUUCUGAUUACAAAAGUUUUAAUGAGCUAUGCUUUCUUAUUUAGUUAUUAAGACUAUAGAAUAAGUUGAGAUGGGCUCUUAAACAAUGAGUAAAUCUCACAAACUGGCAACAAAAAAUUCACAAAAUGUUCCUGGGAUGUGGCCUCUACAGCCCAGAGUAAUACUUUUCUUUCCAAAUAAUUACUUUAAUCACCUGUAAUAUCAUAACUCCUUACUACCCUUAAGGGAGGAGAAGAGAGAAGACAGGAAAGAACAGCUUCAUUUUCAAGGUACCUUCCUGAGUUUGCAGAAUGGAUGAUUUGAGAAAGUAUCUGUUUACAUACACUCCAUAUUUAACCCAAAUAUCUUAGCAAUCAGGAUGCUGCUAAGUAUUUUACAGAGAUCCAAAGAGACACAACCCAAAGACAAGAACUUCUGUGAAAUGAAGCUCUUUAACUUAAAAAUUACUCAAAGAAAUAAGAACCUCCCAAAAACAAUUUUGAGAAUCAAAUUUUUUUCUGCCUGAAAUAAAUUAAAACACCAGAGUCUGCA
rnacentral:lncRNA from 1 species